CCUCCCCCAUGCUUCUAGAGGGCCCUAGUCGGCCGUAAGGGACCCGGAAGUGUGGGGGGGUCGUC
rnacentral:pre_miRNA from 1 species